GAUGAACGCUGGCGGCGUGCCUAAUACAUGCAAGUCGAACGAAACUUCUUUAUCACCGAGUGCUUGCACUCACCGAUAAAGAGUUGAGUGGCGAACGGGUGAGUAACACGUGGGCAGCCUGCCCAAAAGAGGGGGAUAACACUUGGAAACAGGUGCUAAUACCGCAUAACCAUAGUUACCGCAUGGUAACUAUGUAAAAGGUGGCUAUACUACCGCUUUUGGAUGGGCCCGCGGCGCAUUAGCUAGUUGGUAGGGUAAAGGCUUACCAAGGCAAUGAUGCGUAGCCGAAUUGAGAGGUUGAUCGGCCACAUUGGGACUGAGUCACGGCCCAAACUCCUACGGGAGGCAGCAGUAGGGAAUCUUCCACAAUGGGCGAAAGCCUGAUGGAGCAACGCCGCGUGGGUGAAGAAGGUCUUCGGAUCGUAAAACCCUGUUGUUAGAGAAGAAAGUGCGUGAGAGUAACUGUUCACGUUUCGACGGUAUCUAACCAGAAAGCCACGGCUAACUACGUG
rnacentral:rRNA from 1 species